UACAGAGGGUGCGAGCGUUGUUCGGAAUUAUUGGGCGUAAAGGGCGCGUAGGCGGCGCCACAAGUCACCUGUGAAAACUCUGGGCUCAACCCAGAGCCUGCAGGCGAAACUGUGGUGCUGGAGUAUGGGAGAGGUGCGUGGAAUUCCCGGUGUAGCGAUGAAAUGCGUAGAUAUCGGGAGGAACACCUGUGGCGAAAGCGGCGCACUGGACCAUAACUGACGCUGAGGCGCGAAAGCUAGGGGAGCAAACAGG
rnacentral:rRNA from 1 species